rfam:Stegodyphus mimosarum contig34090, whole genome shotgun sequence.
GCCUUCGUAGUGUAGUGGUGAGCACACUUGGCGCGCAUCGAGAGGUCCGUGGUUCGAGUCCCGGCGACGGCG